GUACCUGUGGUGGGACCAGAGAAGCUGUAGCCUGCUCACGCCCUGAAGUUGCCAGCACAGCGUGGGGUGUGUGUGUGUGGCUUUAAGUGAAGACAGCCUGUGCCUCAGAGGCCUGACAGAGCCCUGCUGCUUGGAAGGGAGAUCCGCCAGGAGGCUGCCAAGGCUAGAGCAUGACUCUAAGUGUUGAGACCAUCAGAGAGCUCAGACUUUCAUUCAGGGGGCACGUGGGGAUCUCCUCCAGGAACGAGAACUCCUUUUCAUUGGACGUGUACUGAGAAGAAGUGUGACAGUUGGUCUUCAACGUCAACUUGGCGAGAUUGUGAGUCGCCUAGGAGAUGCAUCUCUGCAAGCAGCCGUGAGGCUGUUUCCAGAGCGCUUUAGCCGGGCGGGGCUGACGCACCCCGAACACAGGCAGCACCGGCACAGGGACUUGAACUGAGUACAGGGCAAGUUGAGCGCCGGCAUCCAUCCGUCUUUGCUCUCCGGCUACAGAGUGUGUGGCCAGCAGCCCUGUGUUCCUGCCCGUGCCUUCCCUGCCCUGACGGAUGGUACCUUCAGACUGUGAGCAGAAAUGAACUCUUUCCUUACUGCAUCUGCGGCUGGUGUUCACAGUGGUGAGAGAAGCAACUAAUACGAGGGGCGGAAGGACAACGGGGGACAAUGUGGAGAGCGCCGCCAGAUGGCACACAGAUCCCAGCCCUGGCAUGGAGAACAGAUGAAAGAGCUGCGUGCGCUGCCUGACCAGGAAGCCUGCACUUCCUCACCCUGACCCCUGGCCGUAUCAGCUAUACAACUGCCCAACUGAGAGCAUUUGGACGUGCUGGUGGGAGCCACCCAGGGACCCCAAAGGAGGAAGCAUCAGGUCACAGGCAUGUCACAGUAAUACCAGGCCAUGACAGAGUUUGCGGGAGCAUCUUUGCAGCUUCCACCAUCCACUUUCCUCCACAUCCCCUCCCAGAUGCCAUAAUUCUGCUGUACGGCACCAGCCUGCUCGUCACGGUUCAGUUUCUCACUGUGUGUGUUCAGGGUUCCUUAAGAUUCACAGAGCAGUGGAAGGCCACAAAUGCGUAAUUAUAUGUGCGGCACCAAUUGGACUUGAUGGAUGAGGAAAAAAAGGAUACGAGGUUGUGUGG